rnacentral:rRNA from 1 species
AACCUGGUUGAUCCUGCCAGUAGCAUAUGCUUGUCUCAAAGAUUAAGCCAUGCAUGUGUAAGUAUGAGCACUCGUACUGUGAAACUGCGGAUGGCUCAUUAAAUCAGUCAUAAUCUACAUGGUGACCCUUUCUAAUUGGAUAACUGUAGAAAUCCUAGAGCUAAUACAUGCGAACAGCCUCUCCGCGAGGGGAGGUGUACUUACUAGACUUUUAACCAGCCCCAGGCAACUGGAGCUUUGGUGAAUCAUGGUAAUUGAUCGAAUCGCACAGCCUUUGAGCUUGGCGAUACACCAUUCGAAUCUCUGCCCUAUCAGCUAAAUCGCAGUGUAGUGGUCUGCGGUGGCAAUAACGGGUAACGGGGAAUUGGGGUUUGAUUCCGGAGAGGGAGCCUGAGAAACAGCUCCUACUUCCAAGGAAGGCAGCAGGCGCGUAAAUUACCCAAUUCUAACUCAGAGAGGUAGUGACAAGAAAUAACAAUACGGCUCCUAUCUAGGUGUCGUAAUUGGAAUGAGUACAAUCUAAACCCCUUAACGAGGAUCUAUUGGAGGGAAAGCCUGGUGCCAGCAGCCGCGGUAAUUCCAGCUCCAAUAGCGGUAUACUAAAAUUGCUGCAGUUAAAAAGCUCGUAGUUGGAAUCCUGGGUGCGGUGUGGCCCGGUCUGCCGUGAAGGUGUGCACUGGCUACGCCCCCUGCAAUCGCUCAGUAGCGCCCAUCUGAUCUUAACUGGUUGGGUGGGGCCGCUCUGGGCCGUUUACUGUGAGUAAAUAAGGGUGUUUAAAGCAAGCAAUCGCUCUGAAUUCAAUAGCAUGGGAUAAUAGAACAAGAGGCGCUGUGGUUUCGGUUGGUUGCCACAGCGCCUAAUGAUCAAUAGGAACGGUCGGGGGUAUUCGUAUUGAAUUGUCAGAGGUGAAAUUCUUAGAUUUAUGAAAGACGAACUACUGCGAAAGCAUCUACCAAGGACGCUUUCAUUGAUCAAGAACGAAAGUUAGGGGAUCGAAGAUGAUCAGAUACCGUCGUAGUCCUAACCGUAAACGAUGCCGGCUAGGGCUCGGGGGAAGUUACUAUUACCGACUCUCCCAGGACCUUGUGAGAAAUCAGAAGCCUAUGGGUUCUGGGGGGAGUAUGGUCGCAAGGCUGAAACUUAAAGGAAUUGACGGAAGGACACCACCAGGAGUGGAACCUGCGGCUUAAUUUGACUCAACACGGGAAAACUUACCAGGUCCAGACACAGGAAGGAUUGACAGAUUGAUAGCUCUUUCUUGAUUCUGUGGGGAGUGGUGCAUGGCCGUUCUUAGUUGGUGGAUUGAUCUGUCUGGUUUAUUCCGAUAACGAACGAGACCUUAGUCUGCUAAAUAGUAUCGUGAACCGUCUAACGGGUGAAGCUAGAGCAGUAUCGGGGCUCCGGCCUCGGUGCUUACUUUAGUGGAUCCUUGACGAGUUCGCGAGCACUUCUUAGAGGGACAACUUGCGGUAAGCAAGCGGAGGCUAAGGCAAUAACAGGUCUGUGAUGCCCUUAGAUGUCCUGGGCCGCACGCGCGUUACACUGAUCGGGUCAAAAAGUUUGCCCUUGGCCUAACAGCCUGGGUAAUCUCGAGUCCCGAUCGUGCUGGGGAUAGUCGAUUGCAAUUAUUUGUCUUGAACGAGGAAUUCCUAGUAAGCGUCAGUCACCAACUGGCGCUGAUUACGUCCCUGUCCUUUGUACACACCGCCCGUCGCUCCUACCGAUUGAACGGUCCGAUGAAAUCUUCGGAUCGGAGUACCCAUCUGCUGGGCAACCAGUAGUAGUGCACCGAAAAGUAGAGUGAAUCUUAUCGUUUAGAGGAAGGAGAAGUCGUAACAAGGUAUUCGUAGGUGAACCUGCAGAAGGAUCA